GCCCCAGUCUCCCAAUUAUGCCGAAGGUGAGCGGUCACCGCAAGUCUAAAGUGGAUUAGUCAACAACAAAAACAACAAGAUGGACUUAACUUAGAUUUUGAUCGAUUUUCGUCGCAUUUUCUUAGGAAGAAGCAAUAACAUACACUAAAAUACACAAUGUAGUUCUCUUCGAUGAUCUGCUUUCAUCCUAGCUUCGAUUUUGGAGCGAAACCGGUGCGAUAAAGCCGGCCAAAUGAGUGCACUGGAAUUCGACUCAGGUUUGAUAUUUCGUUAAAUUUUAAUUUGUUGGCUUUUUGUAAACCGUUUAACGGCAGGAAAAGCCAUGUGUUGGCUUAGUUAAACCGCAGUUAAAAGAAACUAGCGUAGUUUUGUUUUAUUUUUCUUGUUUAGGGCUUGUCUCGGCGUCUAAAACCGGUUGUACUAACAAUAUAAACGGUCGAAAUCAAAAUUCUGAUAGCAAGGUGAAGACUUUAAAACCGCCAAGUGCUAAAGCAAACACAAGUCACUCGAAAACCGAAGG
rnacentral:lncRNA from 1 species